GAUGAACGCUGGCGGCGUGCCUAAUACAUGCAAGUCGAGCGAACAGACGAGGAGCUUGCUCCUUGCCCUUUAGGGGGGGAGGGGGGAGAAACCCGUGGUAACCUUCCUUUAAUUACGGGUAAACUUUGGGAAAUCGGGAGCAAAUCCGGUAGAAGUUUCCGACCCACUGGGUUGGUUGGUAAAAGUUGGCUUUCCUGCACCUAUUCGAGGAACCUGCGCCGAAUUAGCUGGUUGUUAGGGUAACGGCUUACCAAGGCAAGGAUACGUAGCCGACUUGAGAGGCGGAUCGGCCACACUGGAACUGAGACACGGUCCAGACUCCUACGGGAGGCAGCAGUAGGGAAUCUGCCGCAAUGGGCGAAAGCCUGACGGAGCAACGCCGCGUGAGUGAUGAAGGUCUUCGGAUCGUAAAACUCUGUUAUUAGGGAAGAACAAACGUGUAAGUAACUGUGCACGUCUUGACGGUACCUAAUCAGAAAGCCACGGCUAACUACGUG
rnacentral:rRNA from 1 species